rnacentral:rRNA from 1 species
GAUGAACGCUAGCGAUAGGCUUAACACAUGCCAGUCGAGGGGCAGCAUGGUCUUAGCUUGCUAAGACUGAUGGCGACCGGCGCACGGGUGCGUAACGCGUAUGCAACUUGCCUCACAGAGGGGGAUAACCCGUCGAAAGACGGACUAAUACCGCGUACACUCCAUCUUGGGCAUCCAAGGUAGAGGAAAUGAAAUUCGCUGUGAGAUAGGCAUGCGUCCCAUUAGCUAGUUGGUGAGGUAACGGCUCACCAAGGCGACGAUGGGUAGGGGAACUGAGAGGUUGAACCCCCACACUGGUACUGAGACACGGACCAGACUACUACGGGAGGCAGCAGUGAGGAAUGUUGGUCAAUGGGCGAGAGCCUGAACCAGCCAAGUCGCGUGAAGGAUGACUGUCUUAUGGAUUGUAAACUUCUUUUAUACGGGAAUAACAAGAGUCACGUGUGACUCCCUGCAUGUACCGUAUGAAUAAGCAUCGGCUAACUCCGUG